rnacentral:rRNA from 1 species
UACGGGGGGGGCAAGCGUUGUUCGGAAUUACUGGGCGUAAAGGGCGCGUAGGCGGCCUUCUAAGUCGGACGUGAAAUCCCUCGGCUUAACCGAGGAACUGCGUCCGAUACUGAAAGGCUUGAAUCCGAGAGAGGGAUGUGGAAUUCCAGGUGUAGCGGUGAAAUGCGUAGAUAUCUGGAGGAACACCGGUGGCGAAGGCGGCAUCCUGGACCGGCAUUGACGCUGAGGCGCGAAAGCUAGGGGAGCAAACGGG